GGGCUCCUGGGGCAAUGGCCUUUGGUAGUAUAUAGUGAGUGUACUUAAUAGAACAAAGAACAGAUACAGGAGUAUAGUGACAAGAUGGGUAAAGAACCCUAGGUCCAACAUACCCACAUUGUGGUUGACCAUCCUAUAGACAUUAGUUUGCUAACCAAUUUUUAAAAAUGAUUUUAAACUGCCAUAUAUCUUUUUGACUUUUGCCCUACUGUUGCUUCAUUCUCCAAACUAGACCUCCAGAGGGUUUCUGAAGGUGUCAAGUCAUCUAACUUUGGAAAUCUUGCCCUGAGACCAUGUUGUCCUCAUUGGUGGAUUAGUGGUGUGAACUUACUGAUUGGAAGGAUGGCACCACCUGUGACAGAAUUGCUUCUGCCAGAUCUAUUUCUCAUUUGGCCAAGUAAGAAUAGAUGAUUUUUUUGUCCUUUCCCAUU
rnacentral:lncRNA from 1 species